rnacentral:rRNA from 1 species
UACAGAGGUCUCAAGCGUUGUUCGGAUUCAUUGGGCGUAAAGGGUGCGUAGGUGGCGCCGUAAGUCAGGUGUGAAAUCUCGGGGCUCAACCCCGAAACUGCACUUGAUACUGCGGUGCUCGAGUACUGGAGAGGAGAUUGGAAUUUACGGUGUAGCAGUGAAAUGCGUAGAUAUCGUAAGGAAGACCAGUGGCGAAGGCGAAUCUCUGGACAGUUACUGACACUGAGGAGCGAAAGCCAGGGGAGCAAACGGG